AGAGUUUGAUCAUGGCUCAGGAUAAACGCUGGCGGCGCACAUAAGACAUGCAAGUCGAACGAACUUAACCAUUAGUUUACUAUUGGAGCGGUUAGUGGCGGACUGGUGAGUAACACGUAAGCAACCUGCCUAUCAGAGGGGAACAACAGUUAGAAAUGACUGCUAAUACCGCAUAUGCCUUGAGUAUCACAUGGUACAAAAGGGAAAGGAGCAAUCCACUGAUAGAUGGGCUUGCGUCUGAUUAGAUAGUUGGUGAGGUAGCGGCCCACCAAGUCGACGAUCAGUAGCCGGACUGAGAGGUUUAACGGCCACAUUGGGACUGAGAUACGGCCCAGACUCCUACGGGAGGCAGCAGUCGGGAAUAUUGCGCAAUGGAGGAAACUCUGACGCAGUGACGCCGCGUGCAGGAAGAAGGUUUUCGGAUUGUAAACUGCUUUAGACAGGGAAGAAACAAGACAGUACCUGUAGAAUAAGCUCCGGCUAACUACGUGCCAGCAGCCGCGGUAAUACGUAGGGAGCAAGCGUUAUCCGGAUUUAUUGGGUGUAAGGGGUGCGUAGACGGGAAAUUAAGUUAGUUGUGAAAUCCCUCGGCUUAACUGAGGAACUGCAACUAAAACUGGUUUUCUUGAGUGCUGGAGAGGAAAGUGGAAUUCCUAGUGUAGCGGUGAAAUGCGUAGAUAUUAGGAGGAACACCAGUGGCGAAGGCGACUUUCUGGACAGUAACUGACGUUGAGGCACGAAAGUGUGGGGAGCAAACAGGAUUAGAUACCCUGGUAGUCCACACCGUAAACGAUGGAUACUAGGUGUAGGGUGUGAUAAACAUUCUGUGCCGUCGCAAACGCAGUAAGUAUCCCACCUGGGGAGUACGGCCGCAAGGUUGAAACUCAAAGGAAUUGACGGGGGCCCGCACAAGCAGUGGAGUAUGUGGUUUAAUUCGACGCAACGCGAAGAACCUUACCAGGGCUUGACGUAUACAUGAAAGUCUAGAGAUUAGACCCCUCUUCGGAGCGUGUAUACAGGUGGUGCAUGGUCGUCGUCAGCUCGUGUCGUGAGAUGUUGGGUUAAGUCCCGCAACGAGCGCAACCCCUGUUCUUAGUUACCAGCGAGUUAAGUCGGGAACUCUAAGAAGACUGCCGGUGAUAAAUCGGAGGAAGGUGGGGACGACGUCAAAUCAUCAUGCCCUUUAUGUCCUGGGCUACACACGUACUACAAUGGCUGUAACAAAGGGAAGCUAAGCCGCGAGGUGGAGCAAAACCCAAAAAAGCAGUCUCAGUUCGGAUUGAAGGCUGAAAUUCGCCUUCAUGAAGCCGGAAUUGCUAGUAAUGGCAGGUCAGCAUACUGCCGUGAAUACGUUCCCGGGCCUUGUACACACCGCCCGUCACACCAUGAGAGUUGGGAAUACCCGAAGCCUGUGAGCUAACUUUUAGAGGCAGCAGUCGAAGGUAGAAUCAAUGAUUGGGGUGAAGUCGUAACAAGGUA
rnacentral:rRNA from 1 species